rnacentral:rRNA from 1 species
UACGUAGGUGGCAAGCGUUGUCCGGAUUUAUUGGGUUUAAAGGGUGCGUAGGCGGCCCUGUAAGUCAGUGCUGAAAUAUCCCGGCUUAACCGGGAGGGUGGCAUUGAUACUGCAGGGCUUGAGUAAAGUUGAGGUUGGCGGAAUUGACGGUGUAGCGGUGAAAUGCUUAGAUAUCGUCAAGAACACUGAUAGUGCAGACAGCUAACUAAGCUUUAACUGACGCUGAGGCACGAAAGUGUGGGGAUCAAACAGG